rnacentral:rRNA from 1 species
CGGUUAAGCCGGCUUCGGCCGGGAAUACAGUGGCGAACGGGUGAGUAACACGUGACCAACCUGCCCCCCGCUCCGGGACAACCGCUGGAAACGGCGGCUAAUACCGGGUACUCCGCGGGCCCCGCAUGGGGCCGGCGGGAAAGCCCAGGCGGCGGGGGAUGGGGUCGCGGCCCAUUAGGUAGUAGGCGGGGUAGAGGCCCACCUAGCCGACGAUGGGUAGCCGGACUGAUAGGUCGACCGGCCACAUUGGGACUGAGAUACGGCCCAGACUCCUACGGGAGGCAGCAGUGGGGAAUUUUGCCCAAUGGGGGAAACCCUGACGCAGCAACGCCGCGUGCGGGACGAAGGCCCUCGGGCUGUAAACCGCUUUCAGCAGGGAAGACGUCGAAAAAACCUUUUUUUGAAGCUCCGGCGGGGAAAAAAAAGCAGCCGCGGUAAUACGUAGGGGGCGAGCGUUAUCCGGAUUCAUUGGGCGUAAAGCGCGCGUAGGCGGCCGCCUAAGCGGAACCUCUAACCCCGGGGCUCAACCUCGGGCCGGGUUCCGGACUGGGCGGCUCGAGUGCGGUAGAGGAGAGCGGAAUUCCCGGUGUAGCGGUGGAAUGCGC